rnacentral:lncRNA from 1 species
GAACAAACAAGAUAUGCUGGCAGAAAAAGUCUUGGCAGGGAAAUCAAAAAUUGAAGACUAUUUCCCAGAAUAUGCAAAUUAUACUGUUCCUGAAGACGGAGCACCAAGGAGAAGCACCACCACUGGCUGACAGCCAAGGCCACCUGCCCAGCCGCGGGUGCUGAAGGGCUUCCGUCCAGGGGCUGAGGGGACCCUGGCUUGCUGCCUCGGUGCCAGGCCCAGUGACUGCUCUUCACCCAGCAGCAUGCGUCAUCUCCAUCUGUGCCCUGCCUCUCCCAAGAGACUCACCCAUCCCUGAGCAUCUGCAGCACCUGCUGGAAGCCUGGGACCACCAUCAACUCCAACGUCAACUCUCACUUAGCAAUUAAAAGGAACUAACAGUUGGUCCAUGUGACGGCAUGGGUUAAACUCACAGUAAUUGUGCUGACAGAAAGAAUCAAAGCAAAAACUA